UACGGAGGGUGCAAGCGUUAUCCGGAUUCACUGGGUUUAAAGGGAGCGCAGGCGGAUUUGUAAGUCGGUGGUGAAAGGCUUAAGCUUAACUUGGGAACUGCCAUUGAUACUAUAAGUCUUGAAUGUUGUUGAGGUUUGCGGAAUGGGUCAUGUAGCGGUGAAAUGCAUAGAUAUGACCCGGAACACCUAUUGCGAAGGCAGCAGGCUAAACAAAUAUUGACGCUGAGGCUCGAAAGCGUGGGGAUCAAACAGG
rnacentral:rRNA from 1 species